rnacentral:rRNA from 1 species
GCUGGCGGCAUGCUUAACACAUGCAAGUACGAACGGCAGCGCGGGGAGCUUGCUCCCUGGCGGCGAGUGGCGGACGGGUGAGUAACGCGUAGGAAUCUGCCCAGUAGUGGGGGACAACCAGGGGAAACUCUGGCUAAUACCGCAUACGCCCUACGGGGGAAAGCGGGGGAUCUUCGGACCUCGCGCUAUUGGAUGAGCCUGCGUUGGAUUAGCUAGUUGGUAGGGUAAAGGCCUACCAAGGCGACGAUCCAUAGCUGGUCUGAGAGGACGAUCAGCCACACUGGGACUGAGACACGGCCCAGACUCCUACGGGAGGCAGCAGUGGGGAAUAUUGGACAAUGGGCGAAAGCCUGAUCCAGCAAUGCCGCGUGUGUGAAGAAGGCCUUAGGGUUGUAAAGCACUUUCAGUAGGGAAGAAAAGCUUAGAGUUAAUAGCUCUGAGUCUUGACGUUACCUACAGAAGAAGCACCGGCUAACUCUGUGCCAGCAGCCGCGGUAAUACAGAGGGUGCGAGCGUUAAUCGGAAUUACUGGGCGUAAAGGGCGCGUAGGCGGCCCGAUAAGUCGGAUGUGAAAGCCCCGGGUUCAACCUG